CUUUCACUGGCAUUCAUACAUACAGAAAAAAGGUCAUAAAAAUACUGAAAUCUCUUUAGUAUUUCUUACUGAAUAACUUGAUUUGCCUUGUACAAUAUAGUACAUUAGUAAGGAGGCUUUCCUAAAGAGGUAUUAUUACUGUUCACUUGGUUGUGUUUUUAUAAACUUUUUUCAUCUGAAGAAUGCUGCGUGCUCAUUUUUAUGGAAGGAGAGAUCAAAAGAGGCUCACAGGCAGCAGGGAGGAGAUUUCAAAAACUUUGUCUUUUAGUUUGCCCUUCAAGUUAAAUUGUUUGCUUUUCAGUGUGUGUUUUUACUUUUUGGUGCUGUUCCCAGACUGCCCUUCUAUCAAACUCCUAUUGUGGCCUCAUAGCCAACCAAGCUGAUUAAAACAGGUGAGGAACAUAUGGCUCAUUAAGAUCAGAAACUCUCCCCAAAGUUACGUGGUUAAUGAGUUCCAGGAUCAAGAUCGGAACUGAGAUGUGUUUAACUCUGAAAUCUUCUACUUGACAAUCAUAUUAUGCUGAAACACAUAAUUUUAAAAGACCUACUUCAUAACCUUCAUGUUUACAUUGAAAAAAAGUGUCACUUUAAAAAAAAUUUACUUGGUCAAAUGGUGCUCUAGCAUGGUGGAUGUGGACCUACGUUUGUAUAAAAGUAUUUUUCUUCUCUUGUAUCCUAUGUAUGUAUAAGACUUGAAUUAAUUUAAUCUUUAUUAAUAAUUUAUUAUUAAAAUAUCUCUGUCAUGCCUACUUUUCAAUAUCCUGGAAAAUAUUUUCUUAUGUCUUUAUUCAUCAGGCAAAGAUGAAAAAAAUGGUGUCUUGGAGACAAAUCAAUUAAA
rnacentral:lncRNA from 10 species